GACGAACGCUGGCGGCGUGCUUAACACAUGCAAGUGGGGCGACGAACCAGGCUUCGGCCUGGGGCAAAGCCGCGAACGGGUGAGUAACACGUGGGUAACCUGCCCCGAAGACUGGGACGAACCCGGGAAACCCGGGCUAAUACCGGAUGUGGUCAUCGUUCACAAGGACGAUGAGCAAAGGAAGCUUCGGCCUCCGCUUCGGGAUGGGCCCGCGGCCCAUUAGCUUGUUGGUGAGGUAACGGCUCACCAAGGCUCGAUGGGUAGCUGGUCUGAGAGGACGAUCAGCCACACUGGGACUGAGACACGGCCCAGACUCCUACGGGAGGCAGCAGUGGGGAAUCUUGCGCAAUGCGCGAAAGCGUGACGCAGCAACGCCGCGU
rnacentral:rRNA from 1 species